ensembl:lncRNA
GAGAAUCAUAGCCGAAGUAACGCUUGGACCUUUAAAUUAGGUCUAUUUUUCUGGGAAUUGCCGAUAGUGACGUGUCUUGAUUUUACGAAUACAGACAAUUGUAAAGUGGGUUUAUUUGCGGACAGUCUUAGUCAUUCAAAUAGCAUUGGUGGUUCAGUGGUAGAAUUCUUGCCUGCCACGCGGGAGGCUCGGGUUUGGUUCCCAGCCAAUGCGCUUACUAAAAUCAGAGUUUUUGAUUGUAAUUAAACUAUUGUAUGUUUUGCCUCGAAAGACACAGUCGCUAGUGUUUGGUGAAGAUAUAAACGGAACGUUUUAAAUAGUUUGUUUGGUUCAAAUUGAAAGACUAAUUCAUUCAACUUAAAAUAAUAGCGAAGCGAAUUUUGAUGCAAGACGAUGUCUGUUGCCUAAAGGAUCUGCUGGAAUAAUGUAUUGAGAAUUGAGUCGUAUUUAAAUUACUGUAUCAAUAGAGGAGACAGUUACCUAAAUUAAAGAAAUUGUAAAUAGUAGCGGAGAGAUAAUGGCGAUAGAGUGGUGCCCACCGAAAUGUUUUUCAUUCUUAUAGAUUGACUGGCACGUGAUAAUUUUGGCGCUGUGUGUGUUAUUUUUAAAGUCUUGGACAUCCCAUAAGUGUGAAGAGGAAAGAGAAGAGAAAGUUGUAAAGUUUGGUUUUAAUCUUACGAUAGAGGGUAUUCCAGACAUGGGAAGCUCUCACACUGAAAGCAGAUUGACUUAAGGCCUGGACUGUGAGCCAGCUCAUCUAGGUGAGUGUAUGGCGUGUUCUGGUUUGUCUGCUCUGCUACGCGCAGAUCCACCCGAUUGCGACGAUAGAGGGAGCCACCAACAUCCACCAGGGGAUAUAGGUCUAACUUCCUGAUCCUUGGCUCUACGAUGGAGUUGACAGUGUGAUGGGGAGUAUAAGCCAAUUUGAAAGAAUAGUUUCAAUAGAAUGUGUGGAUAUUCUCUUUGAAAUAUGUUUAGAUAUGUGUAUUAAGAAUAAUUGGUAAAAGUAAUAAUUUAUCAUGUAGUUAAUGAACUGAACUAAACUGUUGUUCUUUCGAGGUUAUCAUGAAAAGUGACAUCAGACGGUAUCUUAAUGCAUGGAAGAGAUAUUUGGACCGAAGAGGGGGUUUUGAGGAGUGUGAGAGGAGUCCACGUAGAGUGAGCAUGGAGAGAGAUCUGUUCUAAACUUUUCUUAUGUUGCGGGAAUACUGGUUGAUGAAUGGACAAGACAUAAUGAGUGGUAAAGAUGAGACAUUGAAAUUGAAACAUUAUCAUGGGCCAUCCACUUUGAACUGUAAAGUUAUCUGAAGAAGAAGGAAAAGGACGCCAGAAGAAUCAGUGCCUGAGGGAGUGGGUUGGUCAACUGUGCCAAUAAAAUUGUUUUAGACUUUUGUGGUAUCAGGUUGAUUGUAGAGGUUUACGCCAUGUAAAAUUAUAGUCAUUUAGAUUAAGAAUGCACUGAGAUACUGAUCUGUAUUAUAAUUGUGAUUUAAAAAGUUAAUAGUAGAAUUAUGGGAUAAUUAUUGAAUGUUAAUAUGAAUGUAAUUCUGCUAAAAUUGAUGUGUGUUAAAUUGAGUUUUUUACUUUGAGUGAUAAGACCAAUUUGAAUCACUGAGGAAUGUCAUUCUAAAUUUUGGUUGGAUAAAUAGUUGGGUUGUUAAUUAUGAUUUGGAAUAUGAAUGAUUUCCCUGACCUAUUCCUGACCACAUCUCUGAGCAUGAGGGAUGACUGUCCUAUAUGUUGUGAUGAGGCCUGUGUUUAGACACUGGUUCUCAUGUAACUUAGGAAGCAUUUUUAUGUUUUUGUUUUUAUUUUUCUCAACAAUGGAAUAGUCUGUGUGAUUAAACCUGUGCAAGUUUGUCUUGUAGAAUAAAGGUUGUAAACUUAGUUUCAGAAGGGAGAAAGCUUAUAUAUAAGCUAGGGAUUUUGACAUUGAAGGGAUUUUAUUUGUUAUUUUAUUUUAAAUAUUGAGUAUGUAGUUAGUAAUGUUCUGAUUCUCCAAAAGGGACAAUGUCCCUUGAGAGGGUAAUGUCGUGGCUGAAUCAGAAUUAGUUAGCUAACAUUGAUAAAUAAGAUGUUUUAUUUACCUAAUAAUGCUUAUGUGAGAUUAGUCAUUAGGAUGUUUUCUUUUGGAUAAUACUGUUGGCAGCUGCAUUUUCCCCUCUUCUCCAGGGCUUAGUCAUUAGGGGCCCAGAGAGGGGAGAGGUCAGGCUUGUCUUCAUAUGUCAAUAUAGCUGUUAAACCAUGUGAUGCUAUGAAGAAUAUCAGAAGGGGAGGAGGACAGAAUGGAGGCUUGUCAUCUUAUGGGAAUGUGUCUGUAACUAUUGUAUGUCCCCUCUGAGGUUGCCCUUAUCUUGAUUUAGUAUAUCACCUAAGAGGCUCACUGUCUUUUCUGAUCUUGUCCAGGAGGGGUUGUAUUUGAGAUGGAAGUAUCUAGAAUUUACCAUUGAUAUAUGUCAUUGGAUGAGGUAAUGGUUUGGUACUAUGUUGUACCAAGAACGAGAUUAGAACUUCGUUUAAGAGACCAAACUGAACGAUAAUUUAUAGUUAAUGCUGUCUGGCUAUGGGAUACUCCUCAAGUAAAGUCUUCCUUUGUAAUGUUCCUAAGAUCUGUUAUUUGUCAUGGGAGUUGAGAGGGGUGUGUCUUGGCUAUAAAUGAUACUAAGAAUUGUUUUGUAAGCACUCUCAGAGAAAUCAUUUAUAGACACUGAAUUGAUCUGAGAGUCACAGGGCUAUGGUGAAGCUCAUAUAUAAUUAAAGAUGGACUUUAUAAUAUACUCUAACUUGUGUGUGGUUUGCUCUCUCAAUGUUUAGUAAUACAGGAAAUUACCACGACAAUAUCGCAAAAAAAAACGCAUAAUAGCACAAUUGGUUAGGAGACCGUAAAACGGUGGCCAUCUCCUCCAGCGCCAUUACCCCAUGGGGAGGGGGGUCACACUCAGACAUUCAGAGAGGAGGCAUAUUAUUGUGGCCCUGGUGGCACAAAAUCAUCUGUCUGACUGCACGGACAUGCUUGGGAAUAUGGUCACAAUGGGGGUCCAGCGUGUGUGUUUCAGGGGAAGGAGGUAUAUCUGAUCUCCAUCAUCCUGGACAUGACAAAUUUGCCCAUUUUUGCAGGCCUUCUCAUACAGCUGCAACUGGAUAUGCAUUUGUAAAUAAAGACCUUUCUUGAGUUGGG